rnacentral:rRNA from 1 species
AGCUCCAGUAGCGUAUAUUAAAGUUGUUGCAGUUAAAAAGCUCGUAGUUGGAUUUCUGGCUUGAGACGCCUGGCCCGCCAAGGUUUCUUGUGUGAGUGCCGGUGUGUCUCUGCCAUCCUUCUAGAUUACGUGUCUACCUUUUACUAGGCUGGGCACGUGUUCUAGAUCUUUUACUUUGAAAAAAUUAGAGUGUUUAAAGCAGGCUUGCGCUAUGAAUACAUUAGCAUGGAAUAAUAACUUAGGACUUUGGUUCUAUUUUGUUGGUUUCUAGGACUGAAGUAAUGAUUGAUAGGGAUAGUUGGGGGUGCUAGUAUUCAACGGCCAGAGGUGAAAUUCUUGGAUUCGUUGAAGACUAACUUAUGCGAAAGCAUUCACCAAGGAUGUCUUCU